UACGUAGGGAGCGAGCGUUAUCCGGAAUUAUUGGGCGUAAAGGGUGCGUAGAUGGUUGAUAUAAGUCUUUUGUAAAAAUGCUAGGCUCAACCUAGUAGGGCAAAAGAUACUGAUGAACUAGAGUACGGCAGAGGCAAGUGGAACUACAUGUGUAGCGGUAAAAUGCGUAAAUAUAUGUAAGAACACCAGUGGCGAAGGCGGCUCUCUGGUCUGUAACUGACGCUGAGGCUCGAAAGCAUGGGUAGCGAACAGG
rnacentral:rRNA from 1 species